rnacentral:lncRNA from 1 species
CCAGGACAUGGUGGGCAUGGGACCUUGCUGAGGACCAGGACCACAACAGUGACAUGGGAGGCCCAGCAUCACACCUGGGAACAGGACUGAUUGGGACCCCCAUGGCUCCAGUUGCCUCAGAGCCCCCUGGUCACACGGUGACAGCUCCAGCGAUGUCCUCAGGAAUGGGGACAGGGAAGGUUCCUGCUCAUCCCCACUCUGAGGACCCCAUCAUGAACUUCACCUUGAGGCUCCUGGAUGGUGAGUGUUUUGGGGGUGCUGCAGGAAAAAGCUGAGGGUUGAGAUCAUGGGGUGGGUCCAGCCAAGACCCUUGGGCUCAACCAGCAGCAGUCAGCGCCUUCUCCUGGCUGUCCCUGCAGGAACUCCCCCUUGUGGAGGGUGCUGGGCUUGGAGAUGUUCCCAGUCCUGUGCCUGAUACCACAGUGGGGUUUGGGGGUCAGCUCUGCCCCUGGUGGGUGACAUGGUCCCUCAGCUCCAUGGGCGGCCCAGGAAGGUGCUGUAGCUCUGGAGAGCAGGGAAGGCAGGCCUGGGCGGCAGAGCCAGGACAGGGGAUGGGCUCUGGAAGGGGAAAGCUGGUGGGGAUGAGGGCCAAGACACUGGUGGUCUGGGAUGUGUCUGGUGCCCCCAGCUCUGGUGGGAUAGGUUUGGGGGUGUCACACUAAACACACACUUCUCAGAGGACUCCAGUGCCACUCCAGAGAAGCUGCCAGUGCUCAGUCCCAGCUCUGUGAUCCACCUGGAAGCCAGUGUCCACUUCAGUCCCAGCAUCUCCAUGAAGAUCCACGUGGAUCAGUGCUACAGGACCACCACGGAGCAGCCAGGACACUCCAGGAGGGUCUCCAUGGUGGUGAACAGCCAUGGGUCAGUGCUGGUGGGACAGGAAGUAGGGUCAGGGUAGCUGGAGUAGGUGGCAUCACCUUCUGCAGCUACCCUGGGGUCCUGUAGGACCUCCUGCUGGAAAGGGAUGUCCAGAGUCUGGAGGCAGCUCUGGAAUGUCCUUUGUCACUCUCCUACCAUAGAUGCCUGCAUGGGGAGAAGCUGGGGAAUGUGUCUGUCCAGCACCAGAGAGGGGAAUCUGUCCUCCAGCUCUCCAUCCUGGCCCCCACACUGGAGGGUGAGGCUGAGGAAGAGCAGGUGAGGC